AGAGAAGGGAAUCCCCAAACAUCUGUGGUUUUGAUCUCCAGUGGCCUCUGAAGCAUGGCUUUGUUUUUUCUCCUCCUUUUGUCCUUCUCUUGCUGAGGAAAAUCAAUCAGGCAGUGUCAAUAUGACAUUCAGCACUUCAAAUACUCACUCUUAACUGACUUCAAGCCAAAUGACAGCCUGGCUGUGAAGAGCUCACCUGAGUGUUUAAAAUGAGGGGGGUUUAUACCACAGACUAGUUUCCAGGAUUAAUUAAGAAACCCCCAUGCAGAGAUAUGCAGCUUAAUUACUUGCUGAUAACUCAACAUUAGCAAUGGAUUCUUGAUCCUCCUUCUGCCUCUGGGCCUUGCCCUCCAGGCAGUGGUGAUGGCUUGUGAGAGAAACCUGACUCCUUUGAAGAGCUGGAUGAGUGAAUACUGAGCUGGGACAAAGUUUAAUGCUCUGAGGAUGGAACCCCUGAGGCCACAAAGUGACCUAUUGGAAACAGUAUUGAUGACUUGGAUAUAUGCACUACAAAUAUGUUAGUCCCAGCUCAUUUGCUGUCAGUAAAUUGUCUCCUCGUUAAAGAAGAAUGAUGAUGACUCAAAUUAUAGUUGAUGUUGCAUAGCAAAUAACAAUUAAAUAUCAUAGAGGAGCUUUGGCUAUGAUGUUGAAUGUUCUUUCUCUGAAGUUUUAAGUGUAAUCACUUAAUGAUGGUGUUAUGUGAAUAAGUCAAGAGGAAAUUUUAUGAUGGUACAAAGAAAUCAGCUAUGAGCACAGAUCAGUUAUAAUACAGGAGCAAUGAGUUAUUUUACCUAUGAAACUGCCUCAGACUUGCCAAGUACCUCAGCUAAGCUGCCUUUUGCAUGACAUGUGAUAAAAAUUUUGCUAACC
rnacentral:lncRNA from 1 species